rnacentral:lncRNA from 1 species
AUCCAUCCCCCCUCAUCUCUCUGGUAAACAAGCCCACAUCCUUCAUUUUUCCAAUUCCGACGAUCUGCUGCUCCGGCAAGCGGUGCCCAGAGUUACUGCGGGGGCGAGGAGUGGCCGUUGCGUGCUAGGAACAGAGCCACCCGUUGUUGCGCUCCUCGCCAUGGGGGCCCGCCACUAUGAGCGGUGACCGGAGCUGAGCGGGCUGCAGUCACGACAGUGCUGCAACCAGCGCUCGUCACCAUGGCCACCCGCAGCUAUAGGUUCGUUGCUCUCCAUGGCCGCCACAGUAGGAUUUUUGCUACAACCAUGUUUUGCUUUUGCUGGAACCAGCCCAUAUUUUUGCUACCACCCACCCACCCAAAAUCCGCUACCACUCUGAUUUUUGCUGGAACCGGCGAACCAUUUCCCUACAACCGUUUUGCUUUUUGUUACUACCGGUGUUUGUGGAUUUUUUGCUACAUCCAUCUUCAUUGACAUGUGAGCCCGUGACUCUGUUUUUGCUUCAACCAACCAUUGUUUUUGCUAGAACCAUCAGGCAUUUUUGCUGGAACUAGCGGUUUUUCCAUGAAUGCGAGUACGGAAGCAUUUUCCUUCGUUGGGAUCGGCAAGCCAUUUUUAUAAAACCGGCGAGCAGUUUUUGCUUCAAUCAGUAUCUAUUUUUGUUGGUGCCCGUGUUUUCGAGAGAUGCAAAGCAUUUUUCUUCAUCGGGAUCAGCAAACAAUUUUUGAUACAACCGGCAAGAAAAUUUGCUUCAACCAGCAUCUAGUUUGGCUGGAACCUGGAGACGACGUACCACAUGCCGGAGAAGUCCACGCACUACAGAACCGACGUGCAGCCGGCGGAGAAGCCCCGAAGGAGCACCAUCGGCGUGCUGGAAGUGGGCAUGCUCGGCGCACGCGACCUGGGCGACAAUAAUUACCCAUAUUGCGUGGCCAAGUACGGGGCCAAGUGGGUGCGCACGCGCACGUUGCUCGGCCCGGCGGCGCCGCAGUGGAACGAGCCGUACACCUGGGAGUUGUUCGACCUCAGCACCGUCAUCACCUUCGCGGUCUUGGACAACAAGCACCUAUUCGGCCCUCGCGACGGAUCAGCCAAGGACUAGAUGGGCAAGGUGCGUGUCCGGCUCGCGACAUUAGAGAGCAACCGCGUGUACACGCACUACUACCCCCUCAUGGCGUUGGGCCAGAGGGGACAGAAGAAGACGGGGCAGCUCCACCUCGCCGUUCGGUUCACCUGCACGGCCUGGGCGAACAUGUUGGCGCAGUACGGGUGGCCAGUACUGCUCCCGAUGAUGGACCAUACGAACCCCAUCCGUGUGCUGCAGAUGGACCUCCGGGUCCAGGCGAUGGUGCUUGUGGCCACGCAGCUGGGCAGGGCUGAUCCGCCGUUGCCUAGGGAGGUGGUGGGGUGCAUGCUGGACGUGGACUCGCACACGUUCAGCCUGCGCCGGAGCAAGGCCAACUUCAACGGGAUCUUUUCGCUUUUCUCCGGCGUCUUCGCCGUGGCCAAAUGGUUCGAUGGCAUCUGCAAGUGGAAGAACCCGCUUUUCUGGUGCACGUGGGAUUCUUGAAGGUAGUGUGCUUCCCGGAGCUGAUCCUGCCCACCGUGUUCGUAUUGAUUUCAUAGUGUGGAUGUUAAUAUCUUUUCAUACAAAGCUAGUCAAAUUUUACAAAGUUUGACUUUGACCAAAUAUUAUAUGCAAACUAAAAAGAAACGGGGGAAUAUAUAUGUACACACGAUAUAAAUGACUUUUCUCCACGCAAGAAAUUAUAUAUAACUUUUCUCGAUUCCAUAAAACAUUAGUCACUUCGUUGUAAGUCUUUUCUCUACUAUUUAUUAUCUCUAAUGCAGGACUUCGAUUGUAAUUCCAUUAGGCGCUAUAGUGCUUAUAUCCGAUGAAAUAGGCAGGACAAGUGCCGAUUCAUUAGAAGAUAUCGAACUUUUGUUGAUCUCAGAAUUAUCGUAAAAUUCAUUCUUUUUGACCAAUCUGUUUUGCAUGACAACAUUCUGCUUCUCCUGUCAAAAGAAAAUGAAAUUUAAUUAUUUCACUUUGUUCAUUUGCCAAAAUGUUCCAGAAGAAUUGGUUAGACAAAUGUUCAAGUGCUUCUUGUUAUUGUGUAACAGCCACCAAAAAUAUUCUAUCAUUCUCUUGAAAUGUUGUAUUACAUGAACAGAAAUGUUCACCUAAUUUGUGAUAAAUAACUUUCAUCAAAAUAAUAAAUAGUAGUCAGGCGCUCUGCUCGGGACAGCAAUGCUGCAUAUUUGCUUUGCUGUAGGUGCUGCAUUUUUUUUUUCUGUAAAAGCUCUGCUCGCUGCUUUGCUGAAGGUGUGUGGUCGUUCAUCGCAAAAAGCAAAAAAACAAAAAAAAAGGUGCGUGGUCGUAGCUGAUACUGAUGGUGUGUAGGCGAGGUUAAAUUUUGUUUUUUGACGCGCGGCGUGUAGGCGAGGUGAAAUUCUAGAUUACGGCAAGCGAUAUAUAGACACACGCCCCUUUGCACUAAUGGCGGGCCCAAUUAACGACUCCAAGCUAAUUUUGUACGAUGAUCUUAGCCAUCUCCCCCCUCUGUUUUGUAACGAUGGGUUGGUUUCCUUUCGGUUUACAUUUUUCCUUCGUUUGCUUUUCUUCAUUUCGCCUUUUCUUUUCUGGUUCAUUUUUUCAUCCGGUUCUUACUGGGGUUCAUAUAGUUUUCAAUGAUUUUCCUUUUUUUGACCUUGUUUUUCUAUUUUAAAAUUGUUGAACAUUUUGUUAUUAUCCAUGAAUAUUUUCUAAAAAAAAUUAUUUAGAAAUAAUUUAAUAAAAUUAUGAACAUAUUAAGCUUGAGCAUGGAUAUUUUUCACAAAAAUCAUGAACAUUUGUUUGUAAAAUCCAUUAUUUUUCUGUCGAAUCGCAAACAAAUAGAUGACCUGAAUUUUGUCGAAUCCCCAACAGUACAACGAGCGGGAUGCCUUAAAUGGAAAAGACAAUGGAUAUCCAUUGUGGCCUGCAGUAGACCAGUCAAGGGUAUCCAUGCAGUGGGAAUGCAUAUCCGCCGACGCCAACCAUUGACUGGUUUUACCUUAGUCUGUAUAGUUUUCAGAUGAAAAUUAUCCAAAAUGUAGUGAAUGUUGUCCGUUUUAUAUGAAAUCAGCCGUCUUUGUAUGAGUUUGGUCCAUUUAGUUCAAACAGUGGCUGACAUGUAUAUGAACAUUGGAUGACAGUCUCCGGUAUCAGUAUGUGCGGACUGGUUCCCCUCUCUAUGGAAGCAAAUAUGUGGAUCAAGUGUUGGAGAUGCCCUAAGCUCCUUCAUCACUGCAUCCAGCGCGAGAUCUGAAGCUAGGUUGUAGUGUCAAAAAGGUUCUUAUAUUAUGAACGGAAGAAGUACAUGUUAAUAGCGUUGCACGGUUGCUCGAUGGGGCAGCCAUUAGUUUAGUUUAGUUCCCUUCGACAGAGAGAACACCACGCCACCACCGUGAGAUCUCAAGC